GCUGGCGGCGCGCUUAACACAUGCAAGUCGAGCGAUAACCAUGGCUUCGGCCAUGGGGAGAGCGGCGAACGGGUGAGUAACACGUGAGUGAUCUGCCCUCGACACCGGGAUAGCCCGGGGAAACCCGGAUUAAUACCAGAUAGCCUUUCGAGCCUACGGGCUCGUCAGAAAAGAUGGCUUCGGCUUUCGGUUGAGGAGGAGCUUGCGGCGGAUUAGCUUGUUGGUGGGGUAAUGGCUCACCAAGGCGACGAUCCGUAGCUGGUCUGAGAGGACGAUCAGCCACACUGGGACUGAGACACGGCCCAGACUCCUACGGGAGGCAGCAGUGGGGAAUCUUGCGCAAUGGGCGAAAGCCUGACGCAGCGACGCCGCGUGAGGGAAGAAGGCCUUCGGGUUGUAAACCUCUUUCAGGAGGGACGAAGCUACUCGGGUUAAUACCCCA
rnacentral:rRNA from 1 species